GAUAGUCGUCGUUGUACAUCCUUCAGGUUUGAAGAUGACCAUGACAUCACUGUUUGGGUUGGUUUCUAUGAACAUGUGAGUGGCUGAUCAGACCAGUUUGAACUUUAUUUUUCAUGUGAGUUUUUUGACCGCUUAUAGCGGGAUCCCCCAUCAGCCACAGUAUGGUGACCAAGGUUAAGGUGAAGCAGAUAAUGUUUAGGGCAUCUUUUCUAGCCCCUUUCUCAUACUACCAAGGUGAACAGUGUGAUCCUAACUAGGACUGCUCAGUCACCAAGGGGGCUGCUGAAUUCCACGGCUGCUUCAGUCCGGUGAAAAGCGACUCUAUGCCCUGAGCCGCUUGUGUGCAAGUCUGCAGUCACAGAGGCACUGGCAUCUAUGGAGCACAGGGGAAAUGGAGAGCUAUUUACAGGUGAAAAGUUAUAAUUGCAUUACUGGAGGGCGAGCGAUUUGGUGGGCAACAAAUGGAGGGGAAGUAAAUUUAAUGCCGAUGAAGUACUGAGUUGACAGCGCUGGAAAAUAUGUCCCCCUAUCUGCAUAUUAAGCCUAUGAGUCCUCUAUGCUACCUAUCAACUUGCCUUUUAUGAUGACUGGGCUUACAAAUUUACCCUAAUUGUGAGCUCAACUAUAAAAACUGAGUGUAAGUUCAUAAGAGGUCACAAUAACCUAUAACAGCAAACGUUAAUGGGAAAGGGGGGGGAAGGGAGACAGACUGAAUUAGUGCAAACAAAGAGGCCUGAUGAAAAAUUCAAGGACUGUGUUAAGAUCAUGCCUGGUAAAUUUAAAAAAAAAAAGAAUGGGGGAUGGGGAAGAGAGUGGAACUGAAAAUGGGUGUUGGAAACUAGGCCUAACUGGUGGAUGAAAUAAUGAGGAUUCGCUAUUCCACCCAUCACUCCUUUUCUGGGGUCCUCAAAAAGAGAAUUUGAGGGGAAGCCAACAGACCAUGACAGAGGAUGCGGGGCAUGCGGGGGCACCCUGUGGAGAAGCUGAGCCUGCGAGCUGUGCAGGGCAGGGAUAGUCAGAGGCAGGAGGAAUAGCUGGAAGCUGUAGGGAGAGGCGCUGCUUACUGGGAGAAGGGGACUAUGGUUGUUGGUGGUGGGGCAUGACUCAAACAGCUCUGGGGUUGUGCCCUCCCACUAUCAGCAGGCACAGGUCAUGUCUGGGAUGAGACUGGCUGAAAGACGAGAGAAGGAAAAGGAAAGAGCACCACCACCCUGGCUGUCACCCCAACCAUCUCCUGGGAUACUGGACCUUCUUCAUCCUAAUCCUGAGAGAUGUCCUGACCAGACCAGACCAGAUGACAUCACCAGCUCCGAUUAAAUCCUCACCACCACUGCUGACACUAUCCACUCCAUCAUACAAAGACUGUCCAAGCCCAGCUUCUGCUUAUGAAGAACAAAUUGUGUCCUCUUCAGGAAACAGGGAGUCUCCCAAGUCCCUCAUUCUUGCUAGACCGUAACCUUACUCAGCAACAGAAGAUCCUUCGCUUUGUGUUGAUCAUUGGCAUAUCAGUGCCAAGAAUCCAGGCUAUACUACAUCCAAGGAAAAAGUGAACUAUGAUGAGAGGCAGAGUUGCAAUCAAGUGAAGGGGACAUGAGUAACACAAUACUGCAAGUCUUUGAAUGGCAUUUAGUAGGAGCAAAGCCGUGGGCUCCAGCAAAGGCCUCUUCCCCCCUCCAGCCUGUUGAGAAAAUGCAAAAGAGCCCAUUCCUGUGGCUUUGCCUGCCUGGCAGGAAGUAAUGGGAAUUGCAUCAGGCUGCCUGCUCUUGGGCAGACUAGUGAUGGUAGCUGGAAGUAGGAAAU